CCUACGGGUGACAGCAGUGAGGAAUAUUGGUCAAUGGGCUUACGCCUGAACCAGCCAAGUCGCGUGAGGGAAGACUGCCCUAUGGGUUGUAAACCUCUUUUGUCAGGGAGCAACGCCGGCUACGUGUAGCCGGACUGAGAGUACCUGAAGAAAAAGCAUCGGCUAACUCCGUGCCAGCAGCCGCGGUAAUACGGAGGAUGCGAGCGUUAUCCGGAUUUAUUGGGUUUAAAGGGUGCGUAGGCGGAAUGCCAAGUCAGCGGUAAAAUCGCGGGGCUCAACCUCGCUCCGCCGUUGAAACUGGCGUGCUUGAGUGGGCGAGAAGUAUGCGGAAUGCGUGGGGUAGCGGUGAAAUGCAUAGAUAUCACGCAGAACUCCGAUUGCGAAGGCAGCAUACCGGCGCCCAACUGACGCUGAAGCACGAAAGCGUGGGUAUCGAACAGGAUUAGAUACCCCAGUAGUC
rnacentral:rRNA from 1 species